GGGACGAACGCUGGCGGCGUGCUUAACACAUGCAAGUCGAGCGGUAAGGCCUUUCGGGGUACACGAGCGGCGAACGGGUGAGUAACACGUGGGUGAUCUGCCCUGCACUUCGGGAUAAGCCUGGGAAACUGGGUCUAAUACCGGAUAUGACCUCCUAUCGCAUGGUGGGUGGUGGAAAGAUUUAUCGGUGCAGGGAUGGGCCCCGCGGCCUAUCAGCUUGUUGGUGGGGUAAUGGCCUACCAAGGCGACGACGGGUAGCCGACCUGAGAGGGUGACCGGCCGCACUGGGACUGAGACACGGCCCAGACUCCUACGGGAGGCAGCAGUGGGGAAUAUUGCACAAUGGGCGAAAGCCUGAUGCAGCGACGCCGCGUGAGGAUGACGGCCUUCGGGUGUAAACCUCUUUCAGCAGGACGAAGCGCAAGUGACGGUACUGCAGAAGAAGCACCGGCUAACUACGUGCCAGCAGACCGC
rnacentral:rRNA from 1 species